CGAUUCAGCAGUGGGGAAUAUUGCGCAAUGGGCGAAAGCCUGGCGCAGCGACGCCGCGUGAGGGAUGACGGCCUUCGGGUUGUAAACCUCUUUCAGCUCCGACGAAGCCUUCGGGUGACGGUAGGGGCAGAGGAAGCACCGGCCAACUACGUGCCAGCAGCCGCGGUAAUACGUAGGGUGCAAGCGUUGUCCGGAAUUAUUGGGCGUAAAGAGCUCGUAGGCGGUUUGUCGCGUCGACUGUGAAAACUCAGGGGCUCAACUCCGAGCUUGCAGUUGAUACGGGCAGACUAGAGUUCGGCAGGGGAGACUGGAAUUCCUGGUGUAGCGGUGAAAUGCGCAGAUAUCAGGAGGAACACCGGUGGCGAAGGCGGGUCUCUGGGCCGAUACUGACGCUGAGGAGCGAAAGCGUGGGGAGCGAACAGGAUUAGAUACCCUGGUAGUCCACGCCGUAAACGUUGGGCGCUAGGUGUGGGGUCCCUUCCACGGGUUCCGUGCCGCAGCUAACGCAUUAAGCGCCCCGCCUGGGGAGUACGGAAUCUAG
rnacentral:rRNA from 1 species